UUGAACGCUGGCGGCAUGCCUUACACAUGCAAGUCGAACGGUAACAGGUCUUCGGAUGCUGACGAGUGGCGAACGGGUGAGUAAUACAUCGGAACGUGCCCGAUCGUGGGGGAUAACGCAGCGAAAGCUGUGCUAAUACCGCAUACGAUCUACGGAUGAAAGCGGGGGACUCGCAAGGGCCUCGCGCGAUUGGAGCGGCCGAUGGCAGAUUAGGUAGUUGGUGGGGUAAAGGCUCACCAAGCCUGCGAUCUGUAGCUGGUCUGAGAGGACGACCAGCCACACUGGGACUGAGACACGGCCCAGACUCCUACGGGAGGCAGCAGUGGGGAAUUUUGGACAAUGGGCGCAAGCCUGAUCCAGCCAUUCCGCGUGCAGGAUGAAGGCCUUCGGGUUGUAAACUGCUUUUGUACGGAACGAAAAGGCUCUGGUGAAUACCUGGGGCUCAUGACGGUACCGUAAGAAUAAGCACCGGCUAACUACGU
rnacentral:rRNA from 1 species